rnacentral:rRNA from 1 species
GCAUAUCCAAUAAGCGGAGGAAAAGAAACCAACAGGGAUUGCCUCAGUAACGGCGAGUGAAGCGGCAACAGCUCAAAUUUGAAAUCUGGAGCCUUCGGCUUCCGAGUUGUAAUUUGAAGAGGAUGUUUCGGUUGCGACCUGGGCCUAAGUUCCUUGGAACAGGACGUCAUGGAGGGUGAGAAUCCCGUACAUGGCUGCAGGUUUGCUUCUAUGUGAAACUCCUUCGAAGAGUCGAGUUGUUUGGGAAUGCAGCUCAAAAUGGGUGGUAAAUUUCAUCUAAAGCUAAAUAUUGGCGGGAGACCGAUAGCGCACAAGUAGAGUGAUCGAAAGAUGAAAAGCACUUUGAAAAGAGAGUUAAACAGUACGUGAAAUUGUUGAAAGGGAAGCGCUUGCAAUCAGACUCGCCUUCAGCUGAUCAACCUUCCUUCUGGUUGGUGCACUCUGCUGUUGGCGGGCCAGCAUCAGUUGGGGCGGUGGGAUAAAGGCGGCAGGAAUGUGGCUCGCUUCGGUGAGUGUUAUAGCCUGUCGUGCCAUGCCACCAGUCCCGACUGAGGUCCGCGGUUCUUGCCUAGGAUGCUGGCUUAAUGGUUGUAAGCGACCCGUCUUGAAACACGGACCAAGGAGUCUAACAUCUAUGCGAGUCUUUGGGUGUAAAACCCAUGGGCGGAAUGAAAGUGAACGGAGGUGGGAGUCUUCGGAUGCACCAUCGACCGAUCCUGAUGUUCUCGGAUGGAUUUGAGUAUGAGCAUAGCUGUUGGGACCCGAAAGAUGGUGAACUAUGCCUGAAUAGGGUGAAGCCAGAGGAAACUCUGGUGGAGGCUCGCAGCGGUUCUGACGUGCAAAUCGAUCGUCAAAUUUGGGUAAUAAGGGGCGAAAGACUAAUCGAACCAUCUAGUAGCUGGUUCCUGCCGAAG